CGCUAAGAGUGUGUGGCAACUAUGAAGCACCUAUGAAGCAGCAAAAGAUGAUUUCAGCCAGGUUUGAUUCAGAGUUGACAGGAACUUUGCAAACUGCUUA